GACAGAGGCCUCGAGCGUUAGGCGGAAUCACUGGGCUUAAAGCGUGUGUAGGCGGAUCGUUAAGUGCCUUGUGAAAUCCCACGGCUUAACUGUGGAACGGCUGGGCAUACUGGCGGUCUUGAGCCAUCUAGGGGCGACUGGAACAAACGGUGGAGCGGUGAAAUGCGUAGAUAUCUGGAGGAACAUCAGUGGCGAAGGCGACACCCUGGACUCAUACUGACACUGAGGUGCGAAAGCGUGGGGAGCAAACAGG
rnacentral:rRNA from 1 species